CAGUAGCCGCGGUAAAACGUAGGGCGCAAGCGUUAUCCGGAAUUAUUGGGCGUAAAGAGCUCGUAGGCGGUUUGUCGCGUCUGCCGUGAAAGUCCGGGGCUCAACCCCGGAUCUGCGGUGGGUACGGGCAGACUAGAGUGAUGUAGGGGAGACUGGAAUUCCUGGUGUAGCGGUGAAAUGCGCAGAUAUCAGGAGGAACACCGAUGGCGAAGGCAGGUCUCUGGGCAUUAACUGACGCUGAGGAGCGAAAGCAUGGGGAGCGAACAGGAUUAGAUACCCCCGUAGUCCCUGUCUCUUAUAA
rnacentral:rRNA from 1 species